UACAGAGGGGGCAAGCGUUGUUCGGAAUUACUGGGCGUAAAGGGCGCGUAGGUGGCCAACUAAGUCAGACGUGAAAUCCCUCGGCUUAACCGGGGAACUGCGUCUGAUACUGGAUGGCUAGAGUUUGGGAGAGGGAUGCGGAAUUCCAGGUGUAGCGGUGAAAUGCGUAGAUAUCUGGAGGAACACCGGUGGCGAAGGCGGCAUCCUGGACCAACACUGACGCUGAGGAGCGAAAGCCAGGGGAGCAAACGGG
rnacentral:rRNA from 1 species